rfam:Mycobacterium farcinogenes DSM 43637 genomic scaffold, SCAFFOLD00001
CGAGGCAACUCUGGAGAACAGCGCGGCCAUCACGCGCUUACCGAAGGUGAAAGGCGCGGCGCGCCAAAUCUCUCAGGUUUCAGGACAGAGCGGGGAGG